rnacentral:rRNA from 1 species
GACGAACGCUGGCGGCGUGCUUAACACAUGCAAGUCGAACGGAAAGGCCUGCUUUCCCUUGUGGAUUGCGGGUACUCGAGUGGCGAACGGGUGUGUAACACGUGAGUGAUCUGCCCCCAACUUGGGUAUAAGCCUGGUAAACUGGUUCUAAUUCCCGAUAGGACUGCAGGGUGGUGCCUGUGGUGGAAUACGAUUUUCUAGUGGUUGGGUAUGAGCUCGCGGCCUAUCUGCUUGUUGGUGGGGUAAUGGCCUACCAAGGCGGCGACGGGUAGCCGGCCUGAGAGGGGGGACGGCCAGAUUGGGACUGGGAUACGGCCCAGACUCGUAGGGGAGGCAGCAGUGGGGAAUAUAGCAGAAUGGGCGGAAGCCUGAUGCAGCGACGCCGCGUGGGGGAUGACGGCGUUCGGGUGGUAAACUCCUAGCGACCGAGAGGAAGCCACCUGGUUGGAAGGGUGGUGACGGUAGUGGUAGAAGAAGCACCGGCUAACUACGUG